UGAAACAUCUAAGUACCCGGAGGAAAGGACAUCAAACGAGACUCCGUUAGUAGUGGCGAGCGAACGCGGACCAGGCCAGUGCUCUUAUCAAUCGAACUGGAACCGUCUGGAAAGUCGGGCCGCAGUGGGUGACAGCCCCGUACAGGUAGGAAAGAUAAGAGACUCGAGUAGGGCGGGACACGUGAAAUCCUGUCUGAACAUGGGGGGACCACCCUCCAAGCCUAAGUACUCCUUACCGACCGAUAGUGAACAAGUACCGUGAGGGAAUGAUGAAAAGAACCCCGAUGAGGGGAGUGAAACAGAUCCUGAAACCGGAUGCCUACAAGCUGAUGGAGCUCUUCGGAGUGACAUCGUACCUUUUGUAUAAUGGGUCAGCGACUUAGUGUUGCGUGCAAGCUUAAGCCGAUAGGUGUAGGCACAGCGAAAGCGAGUCUUAAUAGGGCGACUGAGUUCGAGGGAUGAGACCCGAAGCCGGGUGAUCUAGCCAUGAGCAGGUUGAAGGUGCAGUAACAUGCACUGGAGGACCGAACCCACGUCUGUUGAAAAAGACGGGGAUGACUUGUGGCUAGGGGUGAAAGGCCAAUCAAACUCGGAAAUAGCUGGUUCUCCGCGAAAUCUAUUUAGGUAGAGCGUCUCGUGAAUACCCAUGGGGGUAGAGCACUGGAUGGGCUAGGGGGUCCCAACGACUUACCAAACCUAACCAAACUCCGAAUACCCAAGAGUACUAUCCGGGAGACAGACGGUGGGUGCUAACGUCCAUCGUCAAAAGGGAAACAACCCUAACCUACAGCUAAGGUCCCCAAGUCAUAGUUAAGUGGGAAAGCAUGUGGGAUUGCUUAGACAACCAGGAGGUUGGCUUAGAAGCAGCCAUCCUUUAAAGA
rnacentral:rRNA from 11 species